rnacentral:rRNA from 1 species
GACAGAGGGUGCAAACGUUGUUCGGAAUUACUGGGCGUAAAGCGCGUGUAGGCGGCUUGGCAAGUCGGGUGUGAAAGCCCCGGGCUCAACCUGGGAAGUGCACUCGAAACUGCUUGGCUUGAGUACUGGAGAGGGAAGCGGAAUUCUCGGUGUAGAGGUGAAAUUCGUAGAUAUCGAGAGGAACACCGGUGGCGAAGGCGGCACUCUGGGCCGGUACUGACGCUGAGGAGCGAAAGCGUGGGGAGCGAACAGG